rnacentral:rRNA from 1 species
GCAGAAGAAGCACNGGNUANNUNCNUGCCNGCAGCNGCGGUAAUNNNGAGGGUNCNAGCGUUANNNNGAAUUACNNGGCNUAANGCGCACGCNGGCGGUCUGUUAAGUNAGAUGUGAANUCCCCGGGCUCNACNUGGGAACUGCAUUUGAAACNGGCAGGCUUGAGUNNGUAGAGGGGGGUAGANUUCCAGGUGUAGCGNNGAANUGCGUAGAGAUCNGGAGGAAUACCGGUGGCGAAGGCGGCCCCCUGGACAAAGACUGACGNUCAGGUGCGAAAGCNNNNNGAGCAAACAGGAUNAGAUACCCUGGUAGUCCACGCUGUAAACGAUGUCGACUUGGAGGUUGUUCCCNUGAGGAGUGGCUUCCGGAGCUAACGCGUUAAGUCGACCGCCUGGGGAGUACGGCCGCAAGGUUAAAACUCAAAUGAAUUGACGGGGGCCCGCACAAGCGGUGGAGCAUGUGGUUUAAUUCGAUGCAACGCGAAGAACCUUACCUACUCUUGACAUCCAGAGAACUUAGCAGAGAUGCUUUGGUGCCUUCGGGAACUCUGAGACAGGUGCUGCAUGGCUGUCGUCAGCUCGUGUUGUGAAAUGUUGGGUUAAGUCCCGCAACGAGCGCAACCCUUAUCCUUUGUUGCCAGCGRUUCGGNCGGGAACUCAAAGGAGACUGCCAGUGAUAAACUGGAGGAAGGUGGGGAUGACGUCAAGUCAUCAUGGCCCUUACGAGUAGGGCUACACACGUGCUACAAUGGCAUAUACAAAGAGAAGCGACCUCGCGAGAGCAAGCGGACCUCAUAAAGUAUGUCGUAGUCCGGAUUGGAGUCUGCAACUCGACUCCAUGAAGUCGGAAUCGCUAGUAAUCGUAGAUCAGAAUGCUACGGUGAAUACGUUCCCGGGCCUUGUACACACCGCCCGUCACACCAUGGGAGUGGGUUGCAAAAGAAGUAGGUAGCUUAAC